CCCUUUUCUAUAGAAAGAAAUCAUGAAGGCAAUGAGCCCAUUAUGAAUUGCUGCUGGCACACAGGAUUAUAAGUGAAGGAACCAUCGUGAAGAGCUUUUUGCCUCGUGCACAGCUCUGUUACAGGAACGUUUUACAAAAGAGAAAAUAACCAAGUCCAGGCCUUUGCUCAGCUCGUGGAUAUCAUGAGCCACACUUUGAAUGUCCGCCAGAAUC
rnacentral:misc_RNA from 1 species